rnacentral:rRNA from 1 species
UCUUCCCAUUCCGAACAGAGAAGUUAAGCCUCACCACGCCGAUGGUACUGCGUCACAGUGGGAGAGUAGGUAGCCGCCGUUU